rnacentral:lncRNA from 1 species
AGUAGAGCUGGAGAAGUGAAGCCAGCUCUUCAGAGGAACACAGAAGAUCAUGUGUGGAUCCCAGACAUUGAAACAAGAAGUUGUAACAUUGAAGUUGCCUUGGAGACCCCAAGAUGUUUGAGAUGCCAGAGCCGUGGACUAUCUGCCGAGGAAAGCUGCUAAAAGAGAUUAGAACCAGCCCAGCAGAAAGUAGUUUGUUGCAGUCAACAAAGAUGAAAAGGGAAGUUGGAUAUCUGAAGAGUGCUUUGACAUCAGACAUGGAGAUGCAGAGUUUGGAGUCCCCUUCACCCCUUGCCCCGUGAUUUUCCUGUCUUGCUUUGGAGGCUCCCUGACAAACCUGACCCUGAUAUUCCUGGGCCAACAAUAGAGGACAACGACAGUAUUUCUAUUAUAAAGAAAAUAUCUAAAGACCCAGAAAUGAAUAUAAAUAACACUGAGUCUAUCUCUACAAAAACUUCAACGAGUUUUUUACAUCAGAACAUGUUGGUCAGAAGAAGUGUAGAGAAAAGAGUUCAAAAACUUUUAGGAAGAAGUGAAGCUAAUGUUUGUUCUCAGGAAGUGCCACUACCUAUUACCUCUGAAGGACAAACACCCAUAAAGCCUCCAUCUGAGGACGCAAAUGAAGAAAAAUGGGCCCAACAAGUUGCAACACAGUAUUUAUUUCUUAACCAGUACCUCAAGGAAAGAUUAAAGGAGAGGAUGAAAGAAGGUACUGACAACUCUGAAUCUGAAGCUUCUGAUGAAGAGCCAUUACCUAGUUCUACCUCUGCAGGAAGAACACACUCAAUGAAAAUGACAGAGAAAAAGAAGAAACAUGAAAGAAAAGAUGCAUACAUGCAUUCAAGACAUUCUUCAGUUAAGAGGAAUGAUGACAUAAAGAAGCAAGUUGACUGGCACCAUGAGCAACUGAAGGAACUCCUCAAAAAUGACAUAAAGGAAAUACUGAAGGAGCAAUUGGCUACAGAGCAUGCAAGGAUGAGGAAACUCCUUAGAAAGGAUGCGAAGAAAAUUAGUGAACUAAUCAGGAAUGAAUUAACGCAAAUAUACGCUGAGCAGGUGGCUCUUCUUCAAGCACAGAGAACAUCUCUACAACAAAAAGUAAAGAAAAAAUACAA